rnacentral:rRNA from 1 species
AACUACGAGCAUUAGCUUGAAACCCAAAGGACUUGGCGGUGCUUUAGACCCACCUAGAGGAGCCUGUCCUAGAACCGAUAACCCCCGUUCAACCUCACCCUUCCUUGUUUAUCCCGCCUAUAUACCGCCGUCGUCAGCUUACCCUGUGAAGGAUAUAUAGUAAGCAAAAUUGGCACAGCCCAAAACGUCAGGUCGAGGUGUAGCGUAUGGAAGGGGAAGAGAUGGGCUACAUUCCCUAAUGCAGAGAAUACGAACGAUGAAAUGAAAUAUUCAUCCGAAGGAGGAUUUAGCAGUA